rnacentral:lncRNA from 1 species
CAACUCUUGAUAAAACAAAAAGGUACAAUGGUCUGUGAGGAAGAGAAAAGGUACCUGAGGAUGCAGAAGUACCUACCACAUGGGAACCGUUUGUCCACACUCAUCCCAGAGAAAACCGAGUCGUCCUCUCAGUUGCACACGUGUAUGUAUCAGCGGGAAGUGCUUGCCAUUACUCCAAAGCCUAGAACCUUCACGUCAUGAAGGUUCUGGAAGGUUUUUCAGAUUGCUUAAGAUACGCAGCCAUUCCAUAUUCAUCUCCAGCUACACAGGGGAAUGGAGCAGAUAGAGCUGCGGCUGGGAAGCGUCACCUCCCCGUCCAGAGCGCUUUCUUUCAGACCCCGCCUUCCUGCGCGCAGAUGGACCGGAGGGUUUUCUGCUUCCUUUCAACCAGAUGACUUCCUAAGCGGAGAUGGCCUGUAGGUAGCAAAUGCAGGAUUUUGUUUACUUUCAUCAUGUCAUGUGAUGGUCAGACUGCUCGCUGGUGACCUCGCUUUAGAAGGUUUUCAUCAAGCCCCGCCCUUUCUCUCUCAUAGUCUUAAUGCAUCUGGACCACUGGGGAAAAUAUUUUUCUUUUCAAAAAGUAGCCCCUUCAGUCUGCGUUCCCAGUUCAUUUUGUAGGGGCAUUCGCCCUUCCUAGUUUGCAGCAAUUAAAGAUAACGGAGUGUAAAGUCAUUAGACCCAGAAUUAGAGCAGCCAGCAGCUGGUCCAGUAUAAAAAUGUCCCAAGUGUAGCCCCUCCCACUGCAGAGCCUGUUUGUAACGUACCUGCCAUUCGUGAAAGUUGCCUGGGUUUUGUAAAGGAGAAUUUUUUUGGACCCAAGCUGUGAUCUUCAAGCACGCCAACUUCAGGCAGCGUUUUCUGCUGCAAACCUCAACAUCCUGGAAUCAAUCACACUGACAGGGAAAGGAUAAAUGCUCCUUUAUAAGCCAACAUUUAUCCAAAUUAAGCCCCCUUACCUUUAUCCAGACCCUUUCACAAGUUCUGAGUUUUUAGCCAAUUGAUCCUCUACUUUCCUUCUUUAGUCCCUCUCAGGGACGCCUCCAUCCCCGGCUCCCCUAAAGGUAGAAGAUACUCGAGCAUGCUGCCUGGGGAGCUGGAUGGUGAAACACCAGAAGAUCUCAUGUCGCAUCUCAAAACACUGUCGGACUUGCUUUCUGCUUUAUGAUGUCCAUAGUUGUUCUAAUAUUAAAUGCUUUGAAUUUA